CCGCGGUAUGUAAUUGGCUGCAUGCUUUUGUAACAGUUCGGGUUUGGUAACAGUGAUACUGGAGGGCGCAGAAAGCGUCGUUAACCUGCAACGGACGAGGUUAUCUCACGAACAGUCGAACAGGAAACAAACAUGGUCUGACUGAUAAUAAAAGCUAGCAUCUACGUGGUGAGGAGGAUCCGGGCUUCCAUUGCUGCCGGGGAGCAUCUGGAGAAGCCCAUCAUCACACCAUGUAGUGCUAUUGCUGAAAUGAGGGCAGGACAUGACUCUAGAGGAAACGUCUCUGCGGCCGCACUGAGCCCAGGACCCGAUGGAGGUGUUGGUGGAGCAGCAGGCUCAGGGACGUCCUCAGAGACAGCUGUGCAGAAAUGUGGCUCCUCUUGACGUUAAUGAUCACGCUGGACACUGGGACUUUGGUCACCGCAAUGGAAAAAUAUAAUGAGUCAUCUAUGUAUUUUUGCAUUACAGGUCAACAAAGCAUCCACAACGAACUCUGUGGCCAAUGUCCAGCUUCUCAUGACGCAUUUACGCCUUUUUCACAGCCGACAUUUUGACUUACCAUAGCAAAAACAACAGGUGCAACUAACGAUGACUCUUUUACAUUUGGCAUUGUUACGUUUGCUGUUGAGCUACACAUCAUACAGGCACCUGAAUGCAAUGGAGACAUCUAUGUUAUUAAAUGAAUAAGUCAACAUGUUCUCUUUGAGAAAGGCGUGUUCUUAUGUACUGCAGUGUUUGAAGGCUGACUCACCAACCUCUCUCCAGGGGCUGAGCAUGCCUGAUGUUUCUGCUGCUGUAACAAAAAAUAAAUAAUAAUAAAGAAAUGUUGCUA